CUUUUUUUUAUUUUUUUUAUUUUUUUUUUUUUUCCCCCUUCCCCUCUUACGUUUCGUGUGAUUGCAGGUUACCUCUUAUUCAAAGACUACUGCGAGAAUGUGGCGGAGGAGCCGAUUCCGCAACUUAGGUUUUACGAAGAGAUCAAGGCGUACGAGAAACUCGAAUGCCCGGAAGAGAGGAGAAAACUUGCCAAAGAGAUCUACGACAAUUUCAUCAUGAAGGAGCUGCUGGCACACUCCCAUGUGAGUAAAAACAUCUGCCUCGUCCGCCUCUCUCGUCGCGGCUCCCUCCUUUCUCCGCUUUCUCUUCCAAAUUAUUCGAUUAUCCGAUAAUCGCACAAUUCGAUCGAGUUAGUUGGUUUUUCUCCGGUUCGCCUUCGAAUUUCACGGAGGGAACGAUCCUUUUAUCGAUUAAGUGCGUAGAAGAAUUUUAUUCCUACAUACGGAUACGUGAAUCGAAUGAAAAUCAAUCGAUAUUAUACGUGAUUACGUAUACGCGUAAAUGGAUCGUGUAAAAAUAACCACGUACGGAAUAUUUCUCCACACUCGAAAAAUAUGAAAAAUUCUUUAGAAAGAAUUUGUCAAAGAAUCGGCAGAAGAAUUGGCAAUUAUUUUUCUAAAUGUGGAAUAUCACCUUGAAACGUCCGUGAUCUAUUCAAACUCGUGCGCGCGCGCGUGUGUGUGUGUGUGUA